rnacentral:rRNA from 1 species
GGGGAAUAUUGCGCAAUGGGGGAAACCCUGACGCAGCGACGCCGCGUGAGCGAAGAAGGCCUUCGGGUUGUAAAGCUCUGUUGUAAGGGACGAAAGAUCAAGGGAAUAACUGCCCUCGAAGUGACGGUACCUUACCAGCAAGCCCCGGCUAACUACGUGCCAGCAGCCGCGGUAAGACGUAGGGGGCGAGCGUUGUCCGGAAUUACUGGGCGUAAAGAGCACGUAGGCGGAUGUAUAAGUCAGGUGUGAAAGACCGCAGCCUAACUGCGGGGUUGCACUUGAAACUGUAUAUCUUGAGGGCAGGAGAGGUUAGUAGAAUUCCUGGUGUAGCGGUGAAAUGCGUAGAAAUCAGGAGGAAUACCAGUGGCGAAGGCGGCUUCCUGGACUGUAACUGACGCUGAGGCGCGAAAGCGUGGGUAGCGAACA